GACGUAGGGCGCGAGCGUUGUCCGGAUUUAUUGGGCGUAAAGAGCUCGUAGGCGGCUUGUCGCGUCGUCUGUGAAAUCCCGCGGCUCAACCGCGGGUCUGCAAUCGAUACGGGCAGGCUAGAGUUCGGUAGGGGAGACUGGAAUUCCUGGUGUAGCGGUGAAAUGCGCAGAUAUCAGGAGGAACACCGGUGGCGAAGGCGGGUCUCUGGGCCGAUACUGACGCUGAGGAGCGAAAGCGUGGGGAGCGAACAGG
rnacentral:rRNA from 1 species